CCUACGGGUGGCAGCAGUGAGGAAUAUUGGUCAAUGGACGCAAGUCUGAACCAGCCAUGCCGCGUGCAGGAAGACGGCUCUAUGAGUUGUAAACUGCUUUUGUACGAGGGUAAACGCAGAUACGCGUAUCUGUCUGAAAGUAUCGUACGAAUAAGGAUCGGCUAACUCCGUGCCAGCAGCCGCGGUAAUACGGAGGAUUCAAGCGUUAUCCGGAUUUAUUGGGUUUAAAGGGUGCGUAGGCGGUCUGGUAAGUUAGAGGUGAAAUCCCGAGGCUCAACUUCGGAAUUGCCUCUGAUACUGUUCGGCUAGAGAGUAGUUGCGGUAGGCGGAAUGUAUGGUGUAGCGGUGAAAUGCUUAGAGAUCAUACAGAACACCGAUUGCGAAGGCAGCUUACCAAGCUACUUCUGACGUUGAGGCUCGAAAGCGUGGGGAGCGAACAGGAUUAGAUACCCGAGUAGUC
rnacentral:rRNA from 1 species